UUGUCGCAAUGACGCAAGCUGACAAGAGAAGGAAGUAAAAAAAUCCUUGAUUUUUCAAUCUUUCAAAAUGGUGUUUUGUUCUCGCGCGUUUCCUUCUAAAUUUAAUCAAUUAAAUUAAAAAUGAACUUAACAAAACGUUUUUAACACGUCAGUAUAGUUAUAACGCGUACAAAAAAUAGAUUCUUCAAAAAUUCCACUAGCGAUAUAUACGACAAAAAAAUUAUUGAGUGCGUGCAGCAUUGUAAUAAAUUUUAACUGUGAUGUUUGUGAUCUGUUGUUUGAAUUAUUUUACGUGAUAUAACAUGGUUCCGGGGCAGUCGUAACGGCGACAUGAACCACGGCGGGCUGAAGAAUGCCUCCACGGAAUCGCGGACCGACAGCAAACGAAAAGGAGGGGUAAAUGUAGAAUGGCAUUCUAUGCCGAACCACGCGGCAGCGACUUACUUAGG
rnacentral:lncRNA from 1 species